GGCAAAAAGAGCAAAGAUGAGGAGGACCACACAUGUGCUGUUCGAGAAGUAUUGGAGGAAACAGGGUUCGAUGUUUCUGAGCUUCUGAAAAUUGAUGACUAUAUUGAAGUUGUAAUUGGACAGCAGAGAGUUCGGCUAUACAUAAUAACAGGGGUGAAGGAGGAUACUGUAUUUGCACCACUAACCAAAAAGGAGAUCAGUGAGAUUUCAU
rnacentral:misc_RNA from 1 species